rnacentral:rRNA from 2 species
AUGGCAAAGAGGUCACACCCGUUCCCAUACCGAACACGGAAGUUAAGCUCUUUUGCGCCGAUGGUAGUUGGGGGUUUCCCCCUGUGAGAGUAGGACGUCGCUGGGC